rfam:Marivita hallyeonensis strain DSM 29431 genome assembly, contig: Ga0131194_102
AUUGCCGACGCGAAGCUGCCCGACAUGCAGGCCGGAUGGGAACAGAUGUGCUCGAACGUCAUGGCGGGUCUGAGCGGGCUGAACAUGGUCUACGAGGCCG